rnacentral:rRNA from 1 species
UACGUAGGGUGCGAGCGUUGUCCGGAAUUAUUGGGCGUAAAGAGCUCGUAGGCGGCUUGUCGCGUCGGAUGUGAAAGCCCGGGGCUUAACUCCGGGUCUGCAUUCGAUACGGGCAGGCUAGAGUUCGGUAGGGGAGAGUCGGAAUUCCUGGUGUAGCGGUGAAAUGCGCAGAUAUCAGGAGGAACACCGGUGGCGAAGGCGGAUCUCUGGGCCGAUACUGACGCUGAGGAGCGAAAGCGUGGGUAGCAAACAGG